rnacentral:rRNA from 1 species
CUCGUAGGUGGCCAACUAAGUCAGACGUGAAAUCCCUCGGCCUAACCGGGGAACUGCGUCUGAUACUGGAUGGCUCGAGGUUGGGAGAGGGACGCGGAAUUCCAGGUGUAGCGGUGAAAUGCGUAGAUAUCUGGAGGAACACCGGUGGCGAAGGCGGCGUCCUGGACCAAUUCUGACACUGAGGAGCGAAAGCCAGGGGGAGCAAACG